ACCGAAUAGGGGAGCCGAAGGGAAACCGAGUCUUAACUGGGCGUUAAGUUGCAGGGUAUAGACCCGAAACCCGGUGAUCUAGCCAUGGGCAGGUUGAAGGUUGGGUAACACUAACUGGAGGACCGAACCGACUAAUGUUGAAAAAUUAGCGGAUGACUUGUGGCUGGGGGUGAAAGGCCAAUCAAACCGGGAGAUAGCUGGUUCUCCCCGAAAGCUAUUUAGGUAGCGCCUCGUGAAUUCAUCUCCGGGGGUAGAGCACUGUUUCGGCAAGGGGGUCAUCCCGACUUACCAACCCGAUGCAAACUGCGAAUACCGGAGAAUGUUAUCACGGGAGACACACGGCGGGUGCUAACGUCCGUCGUGAAGAGGGAAACAACCCAGACCGCCAGCUAAGGUCCCAAAGUCAUGGUUAAGUGGGAAACGAUGUGGGAAGGCCCAGACAGCCAGGAUGUUGGCUUAGAAGCAGCCAUCAUUUAAAGAAAGCGUAAUAGCUCACUGGUCGAGUCGGCCUGCGCGGAAGAUGUAACGGGGCUAAACCAUGCACCGAAGCUGCGGCAGCGACGCUGAUGCGUUGUUGGGUAGGGGAGCGUUCUGUAAGCCUGUGAAGGUGUGCUGUGAGGCAUGCUGGAGGUAUCAGAAGUGCGAAUGCUGACAUAAGUAACGAUAAAGCGGGUGAAAAGCCCGCUCGCCGGAAGACCAAGGGUUCCUGUCCAACGUUAAUCGGGGCAGGGUGAGUCGACCCCUAAGGCGAGGCCGAAAGGCGUAGUCGAUGGGAAACAGGUUAAUAUUCCUGUACUUGGUGUUACUG
rnacentral:rRNA from 1 species